UGGGGAAUAUUGCACAAUGGGCGCAAGCCUUAUGCAGCCAUGCCGCGUGUAUGAAGAAGGCCUUCGGGUUGUAAAGUACUUUCAGCGGGGAGGAAGGUGUUGAGGUUAAUAACCUCAGCAAUUGACGUUACCCGCAGAAGAAGCACCGGCUAACUCCGUGCCAGCAGCCGCGGUAAUACGGAGGGUGCAAGCGUUAAUCGGAAUUACUGGGCGUAAAGCGCACGCAGGCGGUCUGUCAAGUCGGAUGUGAAAUCCCCGGGCUCGACCUGGGAACUGCAUUCGAAACUGGCAGGCUAGAGUCUUGUAGAGGGGGGUAGAAUUCCAGGUGUAGCGGUGAAAUGCGUAGAGAUCUGGAGGAAUACCGGUGGCGAAGGCGGCCCCCUGGACAAAGACUGACGCUCAGGUGCGAAAGCGUGGGGAGCAAACA
rnacentral:rRNA from 1 species